GGAAGACCGAGCGUACUGUACUACUCUGGGGUGGGAGGAGAGUUCUACAUCACCUGUCUUCCUCUCGGCUGCGUGAGGGAGGAAUUGAUACAACUCCCUAGUCAGCCUACUGCAGUGAAUACGUGUCUCUGGGACUUGUACACCCAGCCAAACACACCAUGGAAGUUGGCCAUGCCCGAAUCCGUUACUCGACCCUUGUGGAGGAGGACGUCUAAGGUGGGGCUGAUGACUGGGGUGAAGUCGUAACAAGGUAGCCGUACCGGAAGGUGCGGCUGGAUCACCUCCUAA
rnacentral:rRNA from 1 species